GUUUGAUCCUGGCUCAGGACGAACGCUGGCGGCGCGCCUAAAACAUGCAAGUCGAACGAGAUACCCGGGCUUGCCCGGGUGGACAGUGGCGAACGGGUGAGUAACACGUGAGGAACCUGCCCCGAAGACCGGGACAACACCGGGAAACCGGUGCUAAUACCGGAUGCCCUCACCGGACCGCAUGAUCCGGUGAGGGAAUGGAUUCCGCUUCGGGAUGGCCUCGCGGCCUAUCAGCUAGUUGGUGGGGUAACGGCCCACCAAGGCGACGACGGGUAGCUGGUCUGAGAGGAUGUCCAGCCACACUGGGACUGAGACACGGCCCAGACUCCUACGGGAGGCAGCAGUUAGGAAUCUUGCGCAAUGGACGAAAGUCUGACGCAGCGACGCCGCGUGCGGGAUGAAUGCCUUCGGGUUGUAAACCGCUUUCAGCAGGGACGAAAUUGACGGUACCUGCAGAAGAAGCCCCGGCCAACUACGUGCCAGCAGCCGCGGUAAUACGUAGGGGGCAAGCGUUGUCCGGAUUUAUUGGGCGUAAAGAGCUCGUAGGCGGUUUGGCAAGUCGGAUGUGAAAUCUCCAGGCUCAACCUGGAGGGGUCAUUCGAAACUGCUAUGACUAGAGUUCGGUAGAGGAGUGUGGAAUUCCUGGUGGAGCGGUGAAAUGCGCAGAUAUCAGGAGGAACACCCGUAGCGAAGGCGGCACUCUGGGCCGAUACUGACGCUGAGGAGCGAAAGCGUGGGGAGCGAACAGGAUUAGAUACCCUGGUAGUCCACGCCGUAAACGUUGGGCACUAGGUGUGGGGUUCUAUCGACGGAUUCCGUGCCGUAGCUAACGCAUUAAGUGCCCCGCCUGGGGAGUACGGCCG
rnacentral:rRNA from 1 species